rnacentral:tRNA from 1 species
GCGACUUUAGCUCAGUUGGGAGAGCGUUAGACUGAAGAUCUAAAGGUCCCUGGUUCGAUCCCGGGAAGUCGCA